AUUGAACGCUGGCGGCAUGCCUUACACAUGCAAGUCGAACGGUAACAGGCCGCAAGCUGCUGACUAGUGGCGGAGGGGGGAGUAAUGGAGCGGAACGUGUCCGGUCGUGGUGUUUAACUAGUCGAAAGAGUAGCUAAUACCCCCUACGACCUAUGGCGGACAGCGGGGGACAGCAAGGCAUCUCGCGAUUUUAGCCGCCGGUAUCAGACGAUGUCGGAUUAGCUAGUUGGUGGGGUAAAGGCCCACCAAGGCGACGAUCCGUAGCUGGUCUGAGAGGAUGACCAGCCACACUGGGACUGAGACACGGUCCAGACUCCUACGGGAGGCAGCAGUGGGGAAUAUUGGACAAAGGGCGCAAGCCUGAUCCAGCAAUGCCGCGUGCGGGAAGAAGGCCUUCGGGUUGUAAAGUGCUUUUGUUCGGAAAGAAACGCAGCAGGUUAAUACCCGGCUGUUAUGACGGUACCGAAAGAAUAAGCACCGGCUAACUUCGUG
rnacentral:rRNA from 1 species